CUGAGCCCUAAUCUGCUUCAUCUAUGUGUGACUUUCCUCCCCUCCUCGCGUUCAUAUAUGCAUUCUUUUCCUCGUGUUCUUUGCCAGUUUGUCUUGUGCCAUCUUGCCAGCAUCGCAGCCUGUUUCUGGGUGUGAUCUUCCAAGUGUCACAUGUGUGCAAGACUGACCAUGACUUUGUUGCUGGGCAUAGCCCUGCUGGCCUGGACUCUUUCAGGCCCUACUGUGGCCUUUGUCCCCAUCGGAGGUGGGCUGUCCACUCA
ensembl:lncRNA